rnacentral:misc_RNA from 1 species
AAGGGCCGUAUAUAUACACCCGAGAGUCCGAGCCAAGCGGGGCAAAUCCAACCGAAAUCUUGUGAUCGAAUCCCCCCUAACAAACCCCGCUCUGCUAUCCUUCUCAUCUGCAGGAAGAAGGCUGGGCGCCAGCCGCAAUGUCCAAGCGGGAUCUACGGCGCCGGCGAUGGGAGUUUGUUGCAGUCCGCCGGUCUUGAGGAGAAGGAGAAGAUGGCAACUGAAAUCCGUGCAGGAACAAGAAACAGUCGGCGAGAUUUCAGGCAGGAGAUCGACGUUCUGUUGCGGCGUCCAAAACAGAGGGAA